GGUGGCGAGCGGCGGACGGGUGAGUAAUGCCUAGGAAUCUGCCUGGUAGUGGGGGAUAACGCUCGGAAACGGACGCUAAUACCGCAUACGUCCUACGGGAGAAAGCAGGGGACCUUCGGGCCUUGCGCUAUCAGAUGAGCCUAGGUCGGAUUAGCUAGUUGGUGAGGUAAUGGCUCACCAAGGCGACGAUCCGUAACUGGUCUGAGAGGAUGAUCAGUCACACUGGAACUGAGACACGGUCCAGACUCCUACGGGAGGCAGCAGUGGGGAAUAUUGGACAAUGGGCGAAAGCCUGAUCCAGCCAUGCCGCGUGUGUGAAGAAGGUCUUCGGAUUGUAAAGCACUUUAAGUUGGGAGGAAGGGCAGUUACCUAAUACGUGAUUGUUUUGACGUUACCGACAGAAUAAGCACCGGCUAACUCUGUGCCAGCAGCCGCGGUAAUACAGAGGGUGCAAGCGUUAAUCGGAAUUACUGGGCGUAAAGCGCGCGUAGGUGGUUUGUUAAGUUGGAUGUGAAAUCCCCGGGCUCAACCUGGGAACUGCAUCCAAAACUGGCAAGCUAGAGUAUGGUAGAGGGUGGUGGAAUUUCCUGUGUAGCGGU
rnacentral:rRNA from 1 species